rnacentral:rRNA from 1 species
CAAUGGGGGAAACCCUGAAUGCAGCGACGCCGCGUGGAGGAAGAAGGUCUUCGCNAUUGUAAACUCCUGUUGUUGAGGAAGAUAAUGACGGUACUCAACAAGGAAGUGACGGCUAACUACGUGCCAGCAGCCGCGGUAAAACGUAGGUCACAAGCGUUGUCCGGAAUUACUGGGUGUAAAGGGAGCGCAGGCGGGAAGACAAGUUGGAAGUGAAAUCUAUGGGCUCAACCCAUAAACUGCUUUCAAAACUGUUUUUCUUGAGUAGUGCAGAGGUAGGCGGAAUUCCCGGUGUAGCGGUGGAAUGCGUAGAUAUCGGGAGGAACACCAGUGGCGAAGGCGGCCUACUGGGCACCAACUGACGCUGAGGCUCGAAAGUGUGGGUAGCAAACAGGAUUAGAUACCCUGGUAGUCCAAGGGCGAAUUC